AUUGAACGCUGGCGGCAGGCCUAACACAUGCAAGUCGAACGAGUGGCGGACGGGUGAGUAAUGUCUGGGAAACUGACCGAUGGAGGGGGAUAACUACUGGAAACGGUAGCUAAUAACGCAUACCAUCGAAUGUGCCCAGUUGGGAUUAGCUAGUGGGUGGGGUAACGGUUCACCUAGGCGACGGUCCCUAGCUGGUCUGAGAGGAUGACCAGCCACACUGGAACUGAGACACGGCCCAGACUCCGACGAGAGGCAGCAGUGGGUAAUAUUGCACAAUGGGCGCAAGCCUGAUGCAGCCAUGCCGCGUGUAUGAAGAAGGCCUUCGGGUUGUAAAGUACUUUCAGCGAGGAGGCGUUACUCGCAGAAGAAGCACCGGCUAACUCCGUGCCAGCAGCCGCGGUAAUUC
rnacentral:rRNA from 1 species